GAAAGAAUAUCGGAGACGGAUGGGCAUGCGGCGCAUUAGCUAGUUGGCGGGGUAACGGCCCACCAAGGCGACGAUGCGUAGGGGUUCUGAGAGGAAGGUCCCCCACACUGGUACUGAGACACGGACCAGACUCCUACGGGAGGCAGCAGUGAGGAAUAUUGGUCAAUGGGCGAGAGCCUGAACCAGCCAAGUCGCGUGAGGGAGUACUGCCCUAUGGGUUGUAAACCUCUUUUGUCGGGGAGCAAAAGCCGGACGUGUCCGGCUGUGAGAGUACCCGAAGAAAAAGCAUCGGCUAACUCCGUGCCAGCAGCCGCGGUAAUACGGAGGAUGCGAGCGUUAUCCGGAUUUAUUGGGUUUAAAGGGUGCGCAGGCGGAUUUUUAAGUCAGCGGUCAAAUCGUGGGGCUCAACCCCAUCCAGCCGUUGAAACUGGGGAUCUAGAGUGUGCGAGAGGUAUGCGGAAUGCGUGGUGUAGCGGUGAAAUGCAUAGAUAUCACGCAGAACCCCGAUUGCGAAGGCAGCAUACCGGUGCGCAACUGACGCUCAGGCACGAAAGCGUGGGUAUCGAACAGGAUUAGAUACCCUGGUAGUCCACGCAGUAAACGAUGAAUGCUACCUGUUUGGCCAGAUUGAAGGCUGA
rnacentral:rRNA from 1 species